UCAUCCAUCAUCAUCGUGGUGGUAGCCACCACUAAACUCCAAACUCCGUGAAAAUAUUCGUGGUGGUGUCGAGGUCAACGAGAAGCAGAAUUUCAAAGCCAAAAAGCCUCGA
rnacentral:ribozyme from 1 species